CGUAUUCACCGCAGCGUUGCUGAUCUGCGAUUACUAGCGACUCCGACUUCAUGAGGUCGAGUUGCAGACCUCAAUCCGAACUGAGACCGGCUUUUUGGGAUUCGCUCCACCUUACGGUAUCGCAGCCCUUUGUACCGGCCAUUGUAGCAUGCGUGAAGCCCAAGACAUAAGGGGCAUGAUGAUUUGACGUCAUCCCCACCUUCCUCCGAGUUGACCCCGGCAGUCUCCUAUGAGUCCCCGCCAUAACGCGCUGGCAACAUAGAACGAGGGUUGCGCUCGUUGCGGGACUUAACCCAACAUCUCACGACACGAGCUGACGACAACCAUGCACCACCUGUACACCGACCACAAGGGGGCAACCAUCUCUGGCCGUUUCCGGUGUAUGUCAAGCCUUGGUAAGGUUCUUCGCGUUGCAUCGAAUUAAUCCGCAUGCUCCGCCGCUUGUGCGGGCCCCCGUCAAUUCCUUUGAGUUUUAGCCUUGCGGCCGUACUCCCCAGGCGGGGCGCUUAAUGCGUUAGCUACGACACAGAAACCGUGGAAAGGUCCCUACAUCUAGCGCCCAACGUUUACGGCGUGGACUACCAGGGUAUCUAAUCCUGUUCGCUCCCCACGCUUUCGCUCCUCAGCGUCAGUUACGGCCCAGAGAUCUGCCUUCGCCAUCGGUGUUCCUCCUGAUAUCUGCGCAUUCCACCGCUACACCAGGAAUUCCAAUCUCCCCUACCGCACUCUAGUCUGCCCGUACCCACUGCAAGCCCGAGGUUGAGCCUCGGGAUUUCACAGCAGACGCGACAAACCGCCUACGAGCUCUUUACGCCCAAUAAUAUCCGGACAACGCUUGCACCCUACGUAUUACCGCGGCUGCUGGCACGUAGUUAGCCGGUGCUUUUUCUGCAGGUACCGUCACUUACGCUUCUUCCCUACUAAAAGAGGUUUACAACCCGAAGGCCGUCAUCCCUCACGCGGCGUUGCUGCAUCAGGCUUUCGCCCAUUGUGCAAUAUUCCCCACUGCUGCCUCCCGUAGGAGUCUGGGCCGUGUCUCAGUCCCAGUGUGGCCGGUCACCCUCUCAGGCCGGCUACCCGUCGUCGCCUUGGUGAGCCAUUACCUCACCAACAAGCUGAUAGGCCGCGAGUCCAUCCCCAACCAAAAAAUCUUUCCACCACCAGACCAUGCGGCCGGCAGUCAUAUCCAGUAUUAGACGUCGUUUCCAACGCUUAUCCCAGAGUCAGGGGCAGGUUACUCACGUGUUACUCACCCGUUCGCCACUAAUCCACCCAGCAAGCUGGGCAUCAUCGUUCGACUUGCAUGUGUUAAGCACGCCGCCAGCGUUCGUCCU
rnacentral:rRNA from 1 species